GUGGGGGAAGAGCAUGUCACCCAAUCAUGAAGCUCUGUGGACAGUGAUGUAUCCAGAGAGAACAGAUAGGAUCCUAGUGUAAAUGUCGUCAAAGAGACUUCACCCAACAACUGAUGGUAACUGUCAUCAAGACCCAGAGCCAAACAUCAAGUAGAGUUUGUGGAAUCAUAUGGAGGAGAGGGAGGUAGGAACGAAGGAGCCAGAGAGAUCAAGGAUACCACAAGAAAAUCUACAGAAUCAUUUAACCUGGGCCUACAGUGGAUCUUAGAGACAUGCAUGGGAUGGAUCUAUGACCUCUUCACAUAUGUAAUUGUUCAACUGGAUCUUUAUGUGAUCAUCCUAAAACUGGAACAGGGGCUGUCUCUAACUAUAUUGCCUUCCUGUGAAUCCCUUUCCCCUAACUGGACUGCCUUGCUUAACCCGAACAGGAGAAGAUGAACCUCGUCUUAUGGCAACUUGAUAUGACAAGGCUGGUUGACAGCCACGGGAGGCUUCCCAUUUUCUGAGGGGGAGGUGGAAGAGGGGAAGCUGUAAUCAGAAUGGGAAGUAAAUAAAUAACUUUAUCAGUAAAAAAUUAAAAA